rnacentral:rRNA from 1 species
GUCUACAGCCAUGCUACCCUGAACAAGCCCAAUCCCGUCUGAUCUCAGAAGCUAAGCAGGGUCAGGCCUGGUUAGUAAGCAGAUGGGGGACCACCUAGGAAAGACCAAGGCGCUAUAGGCA